AUCAAAUUCUCACUAGAUCCCAGGGGAAGCCUUGGGCCACUUGCAAAAUUCCAACGGUCAGCGGGGCUGCUGACCAGACGUGGUGGCUCUGCUCUUGUCCAACCCAGGAGCCGGGGGCCAAACCCGGCCCGCAGACCUGCUUGGACUGCACCUCCUCCCUGGGGCACCACUGGCGAUGGUCCAAAUGCCCCACCUGGUGACUGUGACAGCUGAAAGUGGGCAGGACAGGUGAGCAUCGCUGAGGUGGGGACAGUGCUACCUGGUGUCUGCUACCAGCUGUCGUGGUCUGGGCAGGGCUGGCUACCCACCUGACCCGUGAUGCCAGGGGUCCUGCAGACCAGCCUGGAGCCUCCCACCCACCCCCAACCACAGAAGCUUCUGCAGGCCAAGGUCUGGGGGCUGAGGGCCUUCACCAGAGUCUGUCCUGGGUCUUGAGAGGCCACUUUGCAGCCAGAGGCACAGAGAGGCUAAGGGACCUGCCUGGCAGGUGGUGGGUGUAUCGACAAAGCCCAGGCCAUGGACCUGCAGGGCGGCCUCCCUCCACUUCCGAAUGGCUGUCGCUCAGCUUCUCUGUGCCUCAGUUUCUGCCCGGGAGGAAGAAGCCACAGGAGGUCACAGCGGGGAUCUUCUGGUGUUGCGUGAUGACCCGUCUACCUCCCACUGUCAUCUCGAAGCAAACCUGCCAACAGGGAGGUGCGGCUGCCUCGGGGUGUUAGGUAACACCCCAGCCUGCUCCUCAGACUGCAGCCGCGCGGCUGGACCCAGAUCCUCCUGGCGCCCGAGGCGGCUGCUGCAGCCGGUCCUGCUGGUGGCGGCUGGGGGCUGGAGGGGACGGCUGCAGGCUCUGGAGAGGCGCAUGCGGGACGGCUGGUCCUCUCCACACCCCCAGGGGGUGCCCGUCCUGCAGUACCCGCCGGCCCUCACUGGGCAGCCUGCAGCACCUGUCCACGGCCCCUCCGGACACCGCUUGGACACUCCCCUGGAGACUCUGCCAGCUCCGGACCUGCAGGGUCCCCGCCAAGAAGAGCCUGUGCUGGGGGCGGCCAGGGUCCGAGGGGUCAGCUGAGCCCUCUGCUGGGCCAGUGCACCACCCCGCCCCACUGCCCACCCCACCUCCCCCCAGAGGCGGGGUGGCAGAGCUCAGUGGAAACUCCAGGGGCCCAGCCUGGAGGAGGGAGCCGGCCCGCCUGGAGGAGGGAGCCAGCCCGCCGCGCCCGGAUGCCCUGCUGCACAGGCAGGAGCAGCCGGCUCGGGACCCCAGGAGAGCCCCGGAGCUGGAUGCAGGGCUGCUCUAGACCGGGCUAGCUGACCAAACCGGCCAGCGUGGAGGACUCGGGGAGACAGAGGUGAUGGUCACGGAGCCUGGGUUCAAGUCCCUGCUUCUCACCAGCUGCAUGUCCCUGGGCAAGGGCCUGCCUUCUGCCUCUGCUCCCUUUGUCCAUCUGAGAGGUUAAUAAUCGUGCCUGCCUCGCCACCACUUUUGUGAGAAUGAAAUAAGCUCCCGGGUGUGGGGUGGCUGGCAUGGUGUAACACCAGACCAUAGGUGUGUUUUUGGUUGUUGCCACUAAAAAUUUAACUGAACGUUCGUUAAUUUUGAUGUUGCAUUUUCCUAUUCAUCUUU